rnacentral:rRNA from 1 species
GAUGAACGCUGGCGGCGUGCCUAAUACAUGCAAGUCGAGCGAACAGAUGAGGAGCUUGCUCCUCUGACGUUAGAGGCGGACGUGUGAGUAACACGUGGAUAACCUACCUAUAAGACUGGGAUAACUUCGGGAAACCGGAGCUAAUACCGGAUAAUAUAUUGAACCGCAUGGUUCAAUAGUGAAAGACGGUUUUGCUGUCACUUAUAGAUGGAUCCGCGCCGCAUUAGCUAGUUGGUAAGGUAAAGGCUUACCAAGGCAACGAUGCGUAGCCGACCUGAGAGGGUGAUCGGCCACACUGGAACUGAGACACGGUCCAGACUCCUACGGGAGGCAGCAGUGGGGAAUCUUCCGCAAUGGGCGAAAGCCUGACGGAGCAACGCCGCGUGAGUGAUGAAGGUCUUCGGAUCGUAAAACUCUGUUAUUAGGGAAGAACAAAUGUUUAAGUAACUAUGCACGUCUUGACGGUACCUAAUCAGAAAGCCACGGCUAACUACGUG